rnacentral:rRNA from 1 species
GUCCAGACUCCUACGGGAGGCAGCAGUGGGGAAUAUUGCACAAUGGGGGAAACCCUGAUGCAGCGACGCCGCGUGAGUGAAGAAGUAUCUCGGUACGUAAAGCUCUAUCAGCAGGGAAGAAAAUGACGGUACCUGACUAAGAAGUCCCGGCUAACUACGUGCCAGCAGCCGCGGUAAUACGUAGGGGGCAAGCGUUAUCCGGAUUUAUUGGGUGUAAAGGGAGCGUAGACGGCAGGGCAAGUCUGGAGUGAAAGCCCGGGGCCCAACCCCGGGACUGCUUUGGAAACUGCCAUGCUAGAGUGCUGGAGAGGUAAGCGGAAUUCCUAGUGUAGCGGUGAAAUGCGUAGAUGUUAGGAGGAACACCAGUGGCGAAGGCGGCUUACUGGACAGUAACUGACGUUGAGGCUCGAAAGCGUGGGGAGCAAACAGGAUUAGAUACCCGAGUA